GUAAUACAGUCAUUUGUUCAAUGGAGUCAACUAGUACGAUUUCUCUUGUUGUUAUUUUAGGUUGAGGUUAGGAAAUGGCUGGAAAAUAGAAUUUAUAAUUGACUGUGGACAUCCAUAAUAAUGUCUGAUGGAGUAGUUCUUUGGAAUCUAAAGGACCUGUGCCCACCACCAAACUCUACCUAUAGAGUGAAAAAAGAAAAUAAAAGUAAGGAAACUAUAAAAUACAUUAUGUACAAAACUUUACAAUUUUACAUCCUGUUUAAGUGUAAUGUUUUCUGUUUCAGUAUUGGUUGAACUAAGGUUGGUGUGUUUGAAAGCUUCGUGUGUUUUGACGGAUUUAAAUGGACUUCAUUAUGAAGGGGCCGUUUUGUCCCGGAUGAUUUAUAUUUACAAGUGCAAAUUUAGAAAUGAAAAGAGCUUCAGAGCCAUAGAAAAGGUGAACAGGAGUCUACGGCGGUACUCGGGCCUGGACCUGGCCGGCGCGUUCAGCGGCUUCACGCCGGGCGACCCCGACUGGGCGGAGACGCACGGCUACCUCCCGUCCCGCCAGAUGCUGCAGUUUGUGCUGGUGCGCACCCAGGGCUUCGCCCGGCUGCUCAGGCACAUGGCAGACGUGUGCGAGGAGGCGGCGAGGGGGGUCGCGCCCAAGCUGGCCACUGGCCACUUCCUGGGUGCAUCGCUCCUGUUCUACGCCGUCGUGAGCCGCAUCUGGGCAUAUGCAAGGUAUCUGGUUUUCUCAGCAUGUGAGUGGUUCAACAAGUUAAAACAAUUCCUCGAUGUACUGGAACCAAACCCAACACCUUGGCUGCCAGAAGGCCACUCAUUUCCUUCUGAUUUGGCAGAUUGGUUGAACAUCGGAUCAUGGACUGAAGCUCCAAGACCCAUGCAGCUGUCUCACACCCAGCGUCUGCUCAGUUUGUUCGCAUCGAAGCGAGAUGAGGAAGUUGAACAUGCAAUGGAAACUGAAUCCGAAGAUGAAAAAAAAAGUUCCUUGGCUGUGAAUGUGAAUGGAAAAAUUUGUGGCGCAGGCAUAAGAAGCUCCUUAGGGGCCAAGAAAAAUAAAGUUCCAUCUUCAAGCUUCUCAGAGAAACUUGUUAAGAAGAAGAAGAAAAAGAAAAGCCUGAAAAACAAUUUAUCACCUGCAAAUUAUUCUGAAACCCAAACUCAAGAUGACAGCAUUUUCGCUCUCUCUCCCACACUGAAUUACAGAUGUGAUGGAGAAGAUUUGGGAGAGUCAGUCUGCCGCGACUCACUGUUGAUGAGGACUGGCGUCGUCGAAAAGCGCCCACCGGAUGCGGAAGGGGGUCCCCUGAGGCGGGACGCCGGACGCCGGACGCCGGGCACCAAGCGGAGCAGACUGGAAGCCAUCGCGAGCCACGGGGAUCUGAGCGCGCUGGUCCGCAGGGAGUCGGAGGAGAGGCUGCUGACCCGCGGCCUCGACAAGCUGCAGUGGCGCCUCCUGAGGAAGUCCCUGAACAAAAAUGAUCAUGGAGCAGAACAAGUUCCUUUUCAUUUAGCGAGGCAAGCAAUGAAUCUAUGCAGGAGGGAAGUGAUGCCUGGCAUUCCCCGUGACGUGGAAGAGCUGGUAAAUGGACUUGAGGAAGCAGCCUGGGCAAACUCUCAGGGCAUGUCGGCAGAAACCAAACUGUGGCACGAUCACGUCAGAAACGAAGAUGGUCAGAUUUCUGCUCUGCUAUUUACAAACGAAUCAUUUUUGCAGCAGCUAUCUGAGCACCCCGCGGAGUUAACAACCAUCGCUGUUGAUGCUACUUUCAAAGUUGUGCCGCAACACCCAAGUGGUCUUCGUCAGUUACUCACUAUUAUGGUUUUUAUUCAAACGAUGGGAUUUCCCAUUUUCUUUGCCAUAAUGCUUAACAAGCUGCAAUCUACUUACGUCGCAGUUUAGAGAAAUUUCGCCAAAAAACUGUGACAUGGUCAGUUGCGACUGUAAUAACUGACUUUGAAAGAGGUCUUACAAAUGCUGUAGGCCAUCUUUACCCCAAUGCCAGACAAGUUCGAUGUUUGUUCCACUACUGUCAGGCAAUUUGGAAGUCUGUUGUGAGAUUUGGUCUCGUCAGAGAGUGUCGUCGAAAUCCGGAACUAAAAAGAGCUGUGAAGAUGAUAAUGGCACUUCCCCAUUUACCGGCCUCAAGAGGAGAACCCCAUGACACCGUUCUUCACCCUGCAAAUAUCGAAGAUGGAUACCAGGUGAUUAAAACUUACGCCAGAGAAGGGAAUCCAAACAGAUUAAAUGCUCUGCUCGAAUAUGUCGAAAACUUUUGGUUACAUCGUGUCUUACCAGAAGGAUUCUCUGUUUUUGGAGCCCAAAUAAGAACAAGUAACCACUUGGAAUCGUUUCAUGGAACACUGUUGGGUUUGAUGGGUCCUCAUUGCAAUAUUUGGAGUUUCCUUAGAUUUCUAACCCAACUCGCGCAUCAAAUGAAAUGUGAUUACACUUGCCUUAUUGAAGGGAGAAUCAUACGCAGGAAUAAUGCAAUACGGAUUAACGACACUGUUCUUGCGAGAAGUAUGGCACGCCUUAUUAGGAGACAGUAUACCGUCAUGGACUUCCUAAGGCAGAUGGCCCAUUCUGUCGAUAGAAUAUACAAUUUAGUCAAUCAGCAGGCAAGGAUUCAAGAACGCGAACCUAACAUGCCAGCCGAAAAUGACAGCGAGGAUGAAUUUGAAGUAAUGGUUGAAGAAAACAUACCACCUGACCACCAAAAUGACCCUGUAAGGACCAACGUACCCGUGCCUACAUAGCAGGAAGCAGAACACACCAAUACCCCUGUUGCGAACCCCGCUCCACCAAGGUGAAACACUUGCACCGUAUGUUUAGUCAACGAAAUUACACGUAUGGUUUACCCAUGUGGGCAUUUUGUACUGUGUGGAAAUUGUGCCGAAGAAUUACGUAAUCACGGUAACAUCGUUAGAUGUCCAAUUUACAGGAGUGAUGUAUAUGACAUCCCACGCGUUUAUUUUGCUUAAAUAUGUAGUUUAUAAUAUAGUUUCUACAGAACAUUUUUAAAGCAUUGACAAGAUAUGUUUAUGUAUUUUAUGUUAAUUCCUAAUUCUGAUUGUCUAAAAUUAUGUCAUAUAUAAUGUCAAAAAAAUUAAGAAAAAAAAGAGACUAGAACAUGUCAUUAUCCUUGCUGAUUGUGAUUAAAUAUUAUGGUAAAACGAAAGUAACUGAUAUGCUGUUUUAUGAAAUUAAUACCAGGACACAAACCGUAAUCUCUUUCAUAUUUCCGUUUUGAAAAAAACAUACUUGAGAGGUCCUAUAAUAAAUUUGUCAGGAAAACGUAGCUGAAUUAUGUAUGAUGAUUGUUUACAAAAAUUCACAUGAAAAAUACUACAUUUUGAACUUAUAUUACAUUAACUAGUAAAUACAACCAAGGUAAGCUAAAGAAAUUCUUGUUGCUGCUAAAUUUCAACACUAAAAUAUACGGGAAGAUGAUCGCUCAGAGAAAGUUAAUUGAACUAAUAGUUUGGCUAUAUAAUUGAAAAAAAAUUAAUAAACUGGUUUAAAAUCUUAGAAUGAACUGUCCGAUGAUUCACAAUUUUCAUUUCAGUUAUGUAACGAAAAAAUGGAAACAAUUUUACAUUUCUGAGUCGAUAUAUUUAUAUUCGACUAAAAGAAAACGAACGUUAUCUAGCUAAAAAAAAACAAUCUUUACUGUUUCUUUAGGUCAGCUUUUACGAAUAAAAUGAAAUAUGCAGCUUAACCAUAAAGGUUAUUAGCGACGCCAAAUCGACUUACGUAGAUAUAAAUUAUGUAAAAACAAAUUCCCGGGAUCAAUAGAAAUAAAAAUUGGCGACUGGAAUAUCUUCCUACCACUAUGUGCUUCAAUUUAACGUUAAAUUUUCUCUAUCCUGUUCUAUCAAUACACAUAAUUGAAUACAUAAAAUUAUAAUUAAUUACUGUGAUUGAAGUCCACAUUCUGGUAUGUUGGAAUCAGAAAGGCCUGAGACCAUAUUAACGAUAUUUGUCAUCGUUUUUGGUAGUAUCAAAACUAGUUUUCUUAAAAGUACAUGGAAUAAUAACUAUCAGUUUUCAAUAACUUUGAUUCUGUGCAUACUAAGGAAGUCGUAGGCGUAGAGUCUGUGGAGGGAGGAAUUAGGCAGAGUGCCUUGGCUCCCCCUGGAAUUAAAAAUAUCACUGUGGGGCUCGCUUUUGCUCUCAAAAUCGUAACUGUGAAAUAAAAAUUAUAUAAAAAAACUUUGGACUGUAGAUUCCGAGGCACACCCCUGCAAAUUCUGCAGAUUUUCGCCCCUGAAGGAGUUAAGAUUUUUAUUUUUGCCUUUCAACCUCUACUUUUGGUAAGGGUAGGUCGUGCCGAGAAUUGUUUCAUAUUCAAGUAUAAGAUCAUAAUUAGAAGUUUUACAAUACAUUCGAACGGACAUUAUUCCGUUCAAACUUAGUGAGGUAUGAAUUUUUAUUUAUUUUGGGACUGCAUUUCAGAAUGUUUACAAUAUUCUUUUCGGAUUUAAUACUUUGUUUACUUAAGAAGCAAUGAAUUAUUUUUUGUCAUUCAACCUUUUUUUUACUCAUAGCGAUAAUGGUCGGUGUUAUGAAAAAAAUCUUCCAGGCUGUAUAAUAAAUUUAGACAAUUGCAAUAUAUUUUAUAUUAGGAAAGUUAUAGUUUUUGUUGUUUAUUAUUGAUUAUUGUAAAACAACCAUAUUUUAUUUUUAUUUUUUGAGAAACGAUCAAUAAUUCUAUGGCUAUCCUGCUCUACGCAUUUCUCUCUGAACCAUUUGAUAUUUGAUUAUGCUGUAUCAAUCUGGACAACAGUUGUACAUUGUUAACAAUUUAACAAUAGAAUUUAUUUAUUGUAAUUAUUAUACACGCACACUUAAGUUGACAUAAUUUGUUUUAUUUGGCAUUUAAUUUGCAGUAUUUUAUGCAACGAUUGUUAUUGUAACUACGCGAGCCAUUUCAUUUUUGUUACAAAAAUGUGUAUUCUCGGUCAAUCACAGGCCAGAAUUGGUAAUUUUUUUUAUGUAUUGUACAAAAUAAAUUAAGAAAUCUAGAAGUUUUAGUGAUGCCAUCCAGACAAUCAAGAGGUGACAUUUUACUUGUGUUUAAUUUUAAAGAUAUUUUAUAACAAUGUUAUGAGUAAAUAAAAGUAACAGGGCUCUAUUCAAAAGAAUGGAGACAUAGGUAAGAAGUGUUGCAAUGACGUGAGUAAACAAAGUUUUGUCUAGACGCAUAGGUAUAAGCAUAUACAUCAAUGUUUGAAAACUAUCUAAAUGUUUCAUUAUUUGUUGUUUUAGCAUUUGAAACAUUGCUUAAAAAACUUAAUAAUCUCUUAAAAUAGUUACAAUUGACAGAACAUAAUUGGAAUUGUGAGUAAAACUGCUUUCGUGUACCCAGAGAUAGAAAGUUAGAUUAACUUGCAUCUGCUAUAUGAACUAUUCAAGCUAGACGUGGAACUUUUCCAAACAAACAAAUAGUUUAGAUGUAAUAAUCCGGAUUUAAUUAACUAUGUAUGCAGUGCGGUGUUGUUAUAUCUGAUUCCCAAGCUAUAUGGAACUUUGGUAUCUUGCAUGUGUGCGCAACGUAGCCCAUGAUGAUGGUGAUUUGUGAUGAUAAUUAGGUGUGUAACCCCAAUUAGACAUAUAUGUAUAGUAAAUAAUAAAAAUUUUCCCUGAAAUAAA